rnacentral:rRNA from 1 species
GAUGAACGCUGGCGGCGUGCCUAAUACAUGCAAGUCGAGCGAACAGACGAGGAGCUUGCUCCUUUGACGUUAGCGGCGGACGGGUGAGUAACACGUAGGUAACCUACCUAUAAGACUGGGAUAACUUCGGGAAACCGUAGCUAAUACCGGAUAAUAUUUUGAACCGCAUGGUUCGAUAGUGAAAGAUGGUUUUGCUAUCACUUAUAGAUGGACCUGCGCCGCAUUAGCUAGUUGGUAAGGUAACGGCUUACCAAGGCAACGAUGCAUAGCCGACCUGAGAGGGUGAUCGGCCACACUGGAACUGAGACACGGUCCAGACUCCUACGGGAGGCAGCAGUAGGGAAUCUUCCGCAAUGGGCGAAAGCCUGACGGAGCAACGCCGCGUGAGUGAUGAAGGUCUUCGGAUCGUAAAACUCUGUUAUUAGGGAAGAACAAACGUGUAAGUAACUGUGCACAUCUUGACGGUACCUAAUCAGAAAGCCACGGCUAACUACGUG